AAAAAAAAAUUACUCGCCAAAAAAAAAUACAAACAAAACAUCCACUCACUGAAACAAAACAAACAGGAACACGUUCAAUGUUGAAAAAUCCCCAAAUCCCUAAUACAAACACUCUCAUUAUCGUUCCCGUCGAGAGAAGCGUACGAGUUCUUCAUUCUUUCUCCAAACUCUUCACCUUAAAUCACUCUACCUCUCCAAUCCCUUUAUCGUUUCCAUCGAGAGAAGUGAGAAGUGUGUUUUGCAAAUUCGUCCAAUUUUCGUUUUCUACAAGUUCGUGUUUUCCUUUUCUUCGUUGUUCUUAUUUUCGUUUCUUUUCUGACUUCGUUUGUGUUGAUGACAGCAUGGUUCGUUGAGAGUUGUAGCUCGAGCACAAAUUGAGGGUUUAGCGUGGUUCCUAAUUAGGUGAUAGCAAAUUCUGAGCUGUGAAGUCUAGGGUAGUAGCUGCAGAGAUGAACAAGUGAUUUAUUGUUGCAGGGGAGAAGUCAAAUAUGCUUAUUGCAUAUGUAAUUGAACUUAUGUUCAUAGGUUAGGUUGUCUUCUGGUGCAUCUUAUGUGUUAAGUUCUUAAUGCAACUUACAUCAAAGGAAUGCACAUAUAUCCUUCCAUACAUCGAUCAUAUACUUUUCAGCAAUCUAGAACAUAAUUUGUUUUAGAAAUCAUUAUUUUGAGUGGAGAAUACUUUACAUGGUCUAUCUAAUUGAAUUAAUUGUGUUUCUAGAAUGAACAGAGUCAUUAAGUUUCUUUUGAUUGACAAGUUUUGCAUCUGAUUGUAUAAUUGCAUUAUGAGUUUAUGUUAUUGUCUUGUGUUGUUUUUUGUUAUUUCAAAUGUGAACAUAAGGUGUGAUAUUGUCUUGUUUUAACAAAUGGGUGAAUAAGAAAAUUGGACUCUGUAAUUUAGGUGUUUGUCGAGGACUAAUUGUUGGCAAUUAGUCCAUUGCACAAUUGUAA